rnacentral:lncRNA from 1 species
AAGGGCUGCGUCUCACCUUGAGUGGUCGUCGUCUGUGUUAAGCUGGGCUGGAUGUCCUCUGCAAGCUACCACUGUUUAGAGAGAGUCUCCUGUUGUCUUCGUCCUGAGGCUUCUUCCAUCUGCACGGAGGUUCCGAAGCGUUUAUGACAUAUCAAUCCCUCUACCAUCAGGCACACAUUUCACUGUUUUGGGAGAAGGCCUUUGGACUGAAGCUGGAAUCACUGCUGCUCCGUGGGUGCUUGUCAUGGCUCCUGUGGAUGGGAACCCGCUAGGCUUCUAGGCUCUGCAUGGGUUUGUCUUUUUGAAUAAA